UACAGAGGGUGCGAGCGUUAAUCGGAAUUACUGGGCGUAAAGCGUGUGUAGGUGGUUAGAUAAGUUAGAUGUGAAAACUCUGGGCUUAACCUGGGAACUGCGUUUAAGACUGUUUAGCUAGAGUACUGUAGAGGAUAGUGGAAUUUCCAGUGUAGCGGUGAAAUGCGUAGAUAUUGGAAGGAACACCAGUGGCGAAGGCGACUAUCUGGAUAGAUACUGACACUGAGACACGAAAGCGUGGGGAGCAAACAGG
rnacentral:rRNA from 1 species